ACCGAGUCUUAAUUGGGCGUUAAGUUGCAGGGUAUAGACCCGAAACCCGGUGAUCUAGCCAUGGGCAGGUUGAAGGUUGGGUAACACUAACUGGAGGACCGAACCGACUAAUGUUGAAAAAUUAGCGGAUGACCUGUGGCUGGGGGUGAAAGGCCAAUCAAACCGGGAGAUAGCUGGUUCUCCCCGAAAGCUAUUUAGGUAGCGCCUCGUGAAUUCAUCUCCGGGGGUAGAGCACUGUUUCGGCCAGGGGGCCAUCCCGGCUUACCAAUCCGAUGCAAACUGCGAAUACCGGAGAAUGUUAUCACGGGAGACACACGGCGGGUGCUAACGUCCGUCGUGAAGAGGGAAACAACCCAGACCGCCAGCUAAGGUCCCAAAGUCAUGGUUAAGUGGGAAACGAUGUGGGAAGGCCCAGACAGCCAGGAUGUUGGCUUAGAAGCAGCCAUCAUUUAAAGAAAGCGUAAUAGCUCACUGGUCGAGUCGGCCUGCGCGGAAGAUGUAACGGGGCUAAACCAU
rnacentral:rRNA from 1 species